UUAAGUUGUAUUUUAUUUUAAUUAAUGUAAUUUCAAACAACUAUAACACCUCCUUUCUUAUUCUUGAUUUCUGUGCAUUUGCUGCAGAUCUUUUGUGGUGGAGCAGGACCUGCAAGGAAAGGUGAAAAAAAGGGAAAACCUGAAACAAAAGAAUAAAGGGCUUACAAUCCCCUGAUCAACCUGGAGAAGAGAGCCUUGCUCAAGGACACACUGGUGUUCCUGUGGCUCAAGUGGUAGAGCAUUGCAUUAGCAGUGCAAGGUUGUGGGUUCGAAUACCAGGGAAGACAUGUUAGGUAGUCGUGCUCAUGGGGUGCAGGCACAUGAAAGUUUGGAGCAGACACAGCAGUCAGAUUGUCCUGCACGUGUUCUUCUGCUCU